rnacentral:RNase_P_RNA from 1 species
GAGGAAAGUCCGGACUCUAUUUAGAGAAUUAUUGCUGUAUGAAAAGCAGUGUAGGUAACUACGAGGAAAGUGCCACAGAAAGAAACCGCCUAUUUUAAUUUAGGUAAGGGUGCAAUGGUUUGGUAAAAGCAUACCAGAAGUAUUAUUAAGAUAUUUGCUAGGUAAACCCCAUACUAGAGCAAAGUGGCUAAUAAAAUUAUGAUUAUCUCUAAAUCAAUACUAUAUAUUUUUAUUAGUUAAUUUAUACUGCAAAAAGUAAUAUAUUUAUUACUUAAGAUUAAUAAUUACCCUUUUUUGUAUUUGUUAGUACAAAUAAGAACAAAAUCCGGCUUAU